GUUAAGCCCUGCCACAAAGUGAAGAGGGCAUCAUGUCAUCACUUGGUCAUUCCCAAAGCAGAUUAGGCUAGAUGUAAAAUUACCCAUUAGUGCUUUUUCCUUAGUUUUCAUUGACCUUGGUAGCUGUGUAUACCUCGUGUAGGUGAUAGUUUUAAUGAGUGAAAAUAACCUCAUUUACUAUUACCUGCUGUGCUAAAAAAGUCGAGCUGGCCUCCUUCGAGCUUCUGUGAGUUGCGAGGACUUUGUCCUGUGGCGGAAGGCAGGUGUCAGAUCGCAGUCACAUCAGAUAGCACCUGCGCCUCCCUGGACAGCCAGAUAGUGGAUUUCUUUUCACUGCCUCAAUCUUUCUUUGUCACUUUUAUAUUUAACUUCUUAGUUAUUCUUAAUAUGUUAUAUAUUCAUACAUGAACAUAUAUAUUCUUAAUGAAUUAACCUCAACACCACUCAUUUACAUAAGGCAAGUCCAAACUCAGGAGGGUGGCAAAAGAGAAUGCUGAAUGUAGUUGUAGUCUGUUUCUUUAAGUACAUUUAUUAAAACCUUGGAUAAUGCCCGAAAGGCUUAUUUUGGGCUCUUAUACAGCAGGAAAGGUUUAGGGAUUUUGGUUGUUGUGUGGUUUUUAAAUUUGUGAUCUUUUUUGCUUUCUUGAAUUAAGGCUAUUUAAUCCUCUGGUAUUUGCAGCUAAUGAAGAGCUGUAAUUGGGCUGUGUAUAUGAGCUGUAAUUUGCAAGCUGGGUCAGAAUGGCACAUUUUGGAUCAGAGGUUGAGGCUAGGAUAGUUUGGACCUCUAUAGGGGUGGUAGCUACCUUCAUGAUCCCGAGGGAAUAGUACUUUUGUUUUUUGCACCUCUCAUGGGAAUAGUAAGAUCUGCUUCAAUCCUUGGAUUUCCUGCCAACUUGAAUAAUCCUUACUAAGGUUGAAACCAAAUACUGAAAGUCAAUCAUAAAUAGAAGGAAAUGGAAAUGUACAUGGGAUUGGCUAUUUACUUUCUUCUCCUUCAGUUUAUAAAAGGGUAUUUACUUCAAAAGUUCUGGGUCUAAAUUUAUUAGUAUUAUGAUAAUAGUAUAUCUGUUUAGACAGGAAAAAACUUUUUUUAGCCAAAUGUCCAAUUUUAAGUGUUAAUUGUUCUUCAGAAGCAAGGACUACAUUCACCUUGCACUUUGAUGGGUGUAGUGUUUAGAGCUAGAAGUAAUUUUUCAUUGCUCACAAAGAAAUGAUAGAACGCCCUGUGAAAUUUAUUUUAUAGGCCUUGAUCCAGUAAAGAGUGAAGCAUGGCAGCAGUUGGUUAACGUCAGAUAGUUAUAUCAAAGAAUGAGAAAGAUGCUUACUUUGCAAUGUUGAAGUGAAAUAUUGGGAAGGAUGGGGGCUGGUUUUCUUUUUUCCUUUUUGCAUUCUGUAUUUGUUUUGUCUGUUAUUCCACUGAAAAUACCAUAUCUUUGGUUUAAAAACACAUUUGACGAAAAAAAAAAAAUCAUCUUUCUUCAUGGAUCACCUCUUUUGGAAUUCAAACUCUUAUUGAUACUUAGGUUCCCAGGUUUGAGAAGCAUAACCAGGGAUUGUAAAGGGUUUCAAUGGGGUUCUUACCACUUGUUGGUAUUAAAGGGAGGUCGGUAAUGCUAGGCAUUCUGGUCAUGCUACUUGGCAGUAAUUUUCAUAAGCCUGUAAGUGUUCUGCUCAGUCCUGCUGCUCGUUGGAGGUCUGGUGCAAAGUGCCUCUGCUGGUGCUCAGGUGUGCUGACGUCACAGGGAGACUGUGGUCAGUCUAACCAGUGUACAUAAAUGCUCUUUCGGCAGCAAAAUGGUGCUCCUGACGCCUUCUGAUGCGCUGUGUCUCCCUCUGCGGAGGCACCCUCCACCCUCUUUUUUGCUUCCUGCACAUAUGUAGACAGUGUGAUCUGCAACUGAUUUUUACAUAGCCAGCACAAAGACACUAGCAGGCUGCUGGUUUCAUGGACCCGUAUGUACCACAAUGACAGAACACCAGAGCGUCAGGACUGAAUGAAAUUGGAGACUCAGAUUUUUAAAGCUGCAGUAAGAAGUCAUAACGUUAAAGCAGUGGUUAAAACCAACAGUCUCUAAAGGCGCACUUGCAAACUGUGCUCUAUUAAACCAAGAAAAGGCAUUAGGGGAAUAUUUUCUAAAAUAUAAACUGUUGCAAUAAAUUAUGCACGAGGAGAAAAGUGAUGUGAAAUAUGCAUACAAAGAAAUCACUUGAAUUUUAUGAAGAAUCAGACAGUAAUUUCUUUUGAUCAUGAAGUUCUUAUCAGUAAUUUGGACAGGCCUAAAAGGCAUGGAAUGAUGGCAGAAAUGUUGAAUUAUUUUUCAUACUAAAACUCUGUGCUUUCUCCAAGGUUUGUUACUCAGAUCAGAUAUGAGUAAAAGUAUUUCUAAAAUGGCUCUCCAGUGAAACUGCAGUAGUCAUAUACGCUGAGGUGAACGUUUCCUUCAGGCUGCCAGUGGAGACGACAGGAAGGAUUGAACCUCGUACUUAGAGGAUGGCAAGGUACCCCGGGUGUGCUGAAAAAGUGGAUCUUUUCUUUCUUUAAUAAAGCAGGGCUGUAUUAUCUUGAAUAUACAUUUGCUUGUUAGAACAUGUUAAGAUGUAUUUAUUUGACACCAGUAUUUAACAUUUUAUGCACAUUUUCAUAACUACAUUCUUAUCUUUCAAAUUCUGACUCAAAGUGGAUAGGCUAGUGUUGAUCUUGGAGUGAACAUUUAAACUCUAAGAGCCAGUUCUUCAUUCUUCUGAACUGGAAAGGCUUUUAUUCCUAUCCUUACUGAUUUUAGCUAGUUCACAAAAGGUGACAGUAUCUGAAUUUUGAUGUGGACCUCUCUUCACAGAGAGUCUCUCUUUUUGUGUAAGUGCAAGAAAUUCUCACAGCUGUCAGGUGGGACUUGACCCUGGGGAACAAGCAGCAGGAACAGACCCAUAAACAUGGUGUCGAACUUUUCAUGCAUGGAGCAUGAAUUCUUAGUAAUGGAGACCAUGUUAUUCUUAUCUUUAGAAAAUACAUAUUAAAAUAACCUUAAUUUUUUUUAAAUGAGUGGAGAAAACAAUGAGAAAACCAGAUUGACCUGUUAAGUACAUUUUUAAGGCAUUUUAUAUUUGAUGGUGCCAUACUUUUAAUAACAAAACUGAAGUUUUUUAGUGACAAUACUGAUGUAUUUUUUAAACCAGAAAGAUAAUCCAUAUCAAUUAAUACAAAAAAGGAAAAAAAUGCCAAAAAACAAAAUUCAUUUGAAGCACCAUAACAGCUGAGCAUUUGGUUCAAGUGUUUAAACUUUUCCAUAAUCUUACUGUGUAGGUUUGGAAUGACUUAAUAAUCUCACCCUCACGAUUAACAAAAGGUUCUGGGUGAGAGUUUUAGAUACUUUUUGGAAAAGUAUCAUGAAGUCAUUGCACAUGUGAUCAGAUCUGCAAGUCAGCUCAGGAACUGUAGCAGCAGAGAGCUCUAAAGGUUACAUGCACCCCAUUGGUGCCCUGCUCUCUGCAGCGCUGGGGCUCAGGCUGGGUCCGUCCUGUUCUUCAUCUUUCUCACACCAGCAGUACCUUUCAGGCUCACUUCAAGGACCACAUAACCCCCAAGCUGUGGUGGAUUGUAUAAUCAAGAUUUUUAAUUAAAGUUUGGAAGUAAUAUAGAGGCAAAAAAAUUGAGAGCGAGAUCAGGUUUUAUCUAUUUUUUUCUCAUGACAAAUUUUCAAGGGUGUUUUGUUAAAAACCAGAUUUGCAUUUUAAAAAAAUGAAACUUGGUAUUUAAAAUCUAGACAUACCACGUGGCUCUUUCACUUUCAUUGCUUUAGUUGCUUAAUAUUUAAGCUUUGCUUCAUGCUACCUUUGUCUGUAUUUCAAAUCCUCAGAAGCCUAUUUCAUUUGUAGACUUGAAUGACAAAAAUUGUUUCUCAUCUAAAGUAUGCUGAGACAUAAAUGUUAAAGAAUGUUGUAUAACAUUUAUUCAAUAAAGUCUUCAUUUUUUAAAAAUUUA